GUGAGAUUCGCCAGAUCGUGCAGUCCAUUUCUGACCUAAAUGAGAUCUUUAGGGACUUGGGAGCAAUGAUUGUAGAACAGGGCACAGUCCUUGAUAGGAUUGACUAUAACGUUGAGCAGUCCUGCAUCAAAACUGAAGAUGGCUUGAAGCAGCUUCACAAGGCAGAGCAGUAUCAAAAGAAGAAUCGGAAGAUGCUUGUGAUUUUAAUAUUAUUUGUCCUCAUCAUUGUCCUCAUUGUCAUCCUCGUCGGCGUGAAGCACCGCUAGUGCCGUGGGGCUGCGCCUCGACCGUGGUGGGCCCGGCUGCCCGCAGGGGUGCAGCUGCCGUCGAGGGGGGCCGCCUCCCUGGACCCUCCUUGCAGCCGAGCUCCUCGCGGGGCGGGGCUCCUGUCUUUCCUCCACUGUCAAGAGCUUUGGGACUUUGGACUCCGCGGCAGAGGAGACGGAGUCGAGUCUGAGUCCCGACGCUCGUUAGAAUGUGUCUCUUUCAGAAAGAGAAAGUGAGUUGAAGGUUUACAGACGCUCCGCAGUGUGUAUGUGCUGUUCUUCGUAGCAGUCCUGUCUGAGUAGCGUGUUAAAGUAAUUUUUGGAAUUUUUUUUUUUUAAACCAUAUGGCUUAUAAGAAAUUUGGUACCAAAAAUUUAUGAGUAGAGGCAAAGCUGCCUCUUCAGCUUUCUCUCUGUAUUUUCCAGUUGAAAACAGAGAAGUCCUUUAAGAAUUUAUAAUCUGUUCCCCAUUAACUUAAUUUAGCCUUUCCAUCACUGUUAAUGAUCAGAGUAACAAAGUGUGAAAAAUACGAAACCAUCUGAUGAACACACUCAGCGGGGUCAGUUAGGACAGCGCCCUGAGUCCAGGUCCCUGGUGCGCGGAGUCUCCUCUUCUGCAGUCUGUGCACUGCGCUUUCUCCUGCAAACCAGAAGGGGUUACCCGGCAAAGCCACCAGAUUUCAAAGUUGGUGAUACAAACUAACCUCACUUUCUAUUCAAAGGGAGUUCGGCAGCGUGGUGGAAGUUGCCAGAACCAGCCGGCGUGUCCGCUGCACUCACGCACAGCCAUCCCUGCUCAGCCCAUUACUCAUACACUAACUGCAUAAUGACCUGCUCCAACCAGACACCAUUUAAUGAGCUGUGAAUUUACACAGAGGCCAUUCUAAAUGGGUCACCCCAUUCAGGAUUAGUGAAUCUCAAAUUAUUAACCAAACAUCACUCCAUUUCAGAGUAAAAUAUUCCACCGGUGGUUUGAUUUAUUGGCUCCUUCAUUGCCACUUAACAGGCCCAGAAAGUAGGCCUGUCCCGCAGAGGGUGGAAGUCUUGACUAGGUAACCCCUCGUGUGUGAGUGUGAACCGGAUUCCCACGGUGGGACGCUGUGGUUUCGUGCUUAGGGUCAGCGUGGUGCCUGAGUGUGCCCCAGAGCUGUCGGGUCACGUGGGAGGUAACGGUGGUGACUGAAAACUUGUUCACGUUUUCACCAGCCUGGAGGCACCAGUACAGUUUUAAUGAUCUCUGUAUAAUUUUUGAUGGCUUUUCCCUAGUUUUUAUCACUCUUAAAAAGUUUAAAAAGAACGUGACCUCAUUAAAUGUGCUCCAUUUAUUUUGGGCCAGUCACGUUGACUUUUAGGUGGUUUCCAAAAAUUUACACUCCAGUCCAGAGAUUUGACUUGUCCAAACAGAUCAUGUCCUCACACGCCCAGCCCUGGUUCUCCCUCCCUGCCCCAGUACAAGGCCAGGUGGCCACGGGGCUAGGGCGUGCGGGGUUCCAGGGUGUAGCAUGGGGCUCCCUGACAAGCCCUUGCUAGGAACGUUUGGGGUACCUUCGUGGUCAUCCUGAACCCUGGGGCGUGUGUAGGUCUGGGGAGCAACUGUAGGAGUCCUUCAGUCCCAGCGGAUUAGAACUUGACAGUGGGGUCCACCAGCUGCUCUUCAGAGUGGGGCUCUUGGGCUUGGGGGGCUGCCCGCCGGAUGGUCCUCGGUGGUGGUCAGACUGGCUUCUUGUUCAGGCUUUUCAAAAGCUCUAUGGAAAGUGACCCUUUGAGAAAGGAUCACCGUUUAUUUAUAUUUAUUUUCAGGGAGGAGGGACUAGGGUUGUUUUAGGGUGAAAUAAUGGGCCCAAUUAGGAGGGGCUUCAAGGGUCUUGUGGGAUGGGGGAACCAGUCUAUGCAGCUAUCUGCUGCUGGGGCUCCCUGCAGGGGCCUGUGCCCCAAAUUGCGGGGCUUCACUAAACGCUGUAUUUUUCUCUUGAGGCUUUACUUGGGGAAGGAGCGCAGCGCGGGGGGGAGUCAGAGAAAGAGGAUUCAUUGUGUCCAGGUAGCUCAGGGUAACCCCUCUCUUGACCUGCUGACCGCCAACGCCUGUGCUGGCUGCCUCUAGGGCUCCCCCCGUGCCUAGGAGGGGUCCCGAGAAGAAGGCAAGCGAGGCAGGCUCCUUCUGGGGCCCCUGGUGUGUUCUGGGGUGGCUCUGUGUAUCGGGGCAGGGAGGAGAAAUGUGAAUGUUUCCUGUCAGACCCCCAAAGCGCCUGAUCUUUCCCGAGAUUGUAACUGAAAUCUGCUGUCUCUGGUUUUAUUAAUUUCGGGGUUGGGGGGGAGGUGCUGGCUUCACCAUGGGCGUGAGGCCGUGUGUGUGUCUCUAAUUUAACGGAUUUACCGCUUUCUCCGCUAAUUGAGAGAGCAUUAUUUAUUUGUUUUGACACAAGUGCUUUCAGUGUUUUUUCCAGCUAAUGGCUUCUUAAAGGUAAUAAAACCCUUCCAACCUAAUUGGUCAGAUAAGACUUUUUUUCUUGUGUGCUUAAAUAAAGCAAUUAGUGAAGCGCUUCUAUCCAAAAUGACUUUUUUUGUCCUUUUCUAAAACUAAUUUACUGUUACUGGAAACUUUUUGUACAAUAAAGCAGUCGUGCACAUUAAAGAACACCCUGCAGUCCGAGUCCUC